CUGAAAUUGCAACAUAAUUUUGUCUGGCUCGGGUGAAAAUCCGUUAUUUGAACACUUGCGCAAUAAUAACGCUGACGACGCGGCGCGAGACGACAACCGCGGAUGGGGGGGGCGCGAGACACACGUCCUCUGCAGGUGGUCGUGGCCGGACUGCCGUGAGGAACGGAGCGAGACGCAACAUCAUUUUGUCUGGCUCGGGUGAAAAUUCGUUAUUUGGUAAGUAACUGUUUUUUGUUGUAGUGUAUAACAUAACUCUCUGUUAAAUAACGCUUGCACACAAGUUGUGAAACGUUCUUAAAAGUUAAACCAGGGAAAUUCCCCAUUUCCAUGUCAGCAUUCAAGCUAACGUUAGUUAGCUGAGCUCGUUAGCAUCAUGACCAAAGGUCAGAAAGUCAGUCAGUCAUCUUCAAAGCCACAAAGGGGUCAAUCGCUGCCAACGUCGCUCCAUGUCCGUAAACACGGCUAAAGGAGCCAAAGUGCGCAGCUUUAGUAAAUGUUAGCUAACGAUAAUGAAAGUGACGGUGGGCUCUCUGGUGAUGGGCUCUCAUUAGGCAUUUGGGAGAAAGAG
ensembl:lncRNA